rnacentral:rRNA from 1 species
GAGUCCUACGGGAGGCAGCAGUGGGGAAUAUUGGGCAAUGGGCGCAAGCCUGACCCAGCAACGCCGCGUGAAGGAAGAAGGCUUUCGGGUUGUAAACUUCUUUUCUCAGGGACGAAGCAAGUGACGGUACCUGAGGAAUAAGCCACGGCUAACUACGUGCCAGCAGCCGCGGUAAUACGUAGGUGGCAAGCGUUACCCGGAUUUACUGGGUGUAAAGGGCGUGUAGGCGGGGACGCAAGUCAGAUGUGAAAACCACGGGCUCAACCUGUGGCCUGCAUUUGAAACUGUGU